rnacentral:rRNA from 1 species
GAUGAACGCUGGCGGCGUGCCUAAUACAUGCAAGUCGAGCGAACAGACGAGGAGCUUGCUCCUCUGACGUUAGCGGCGGACGGGUGAGUAACACGUGGAUAACCUACCUAUAAGACUGGGAUAACUUCGGGAAACCGGAGCUAAUACCGGAUAAUAUAUUGAACCGCAUGGUUCAAUAGUGAAAGACGGUUUUGCUGUCACUUAUAGAUGGAUCCGCGCCGCAUUAGCUAGUUGGUAAGGUAACGGCUUACCAAGGCAACGAUGCGUAGCCGACCUGAGAGGGUGAUCGGCCACACUGGAACUGAGACACGGUCCAGACUCCUACGGGAGGCAGCAGUAGGGAAUCUUACGCAAUGGGCGAAAGCCUGACGGAGCAACGCCGCGUGAGUGAUGAAGGUCUUCGGAGCGUAAAACUCUGUUACUAGGGAAGAACAAAUGUGUAAGUAACUAUGCACGUCUUGACGGUACCUGAUCAGAAAGCCACGGCUAACUACGUG